GGGCGGGCUGAGGGGGCGGGCUGACGGGCCGCGGCGCUGGCCCCCUGAUAGUUCCUGCCGGACCUGGGUGGUUGUGUCCGCUCGGGGUUCUGUCGCUCCAUGGUACGCCCGUGAGGCUGGCUGCCGGCGGCCGUCUCCUCGAAAUGGAGCACAUCCGUACGACCAAGGUUGAGCAAGUGAAAUUACUUGACCGAUUCAGUACCAGCAACAAGUCACUAACAGGAACACUCUAUCUUACAGCCACACAUCUAUUAUUUAUAGACUCUCAUCAGAAAGAAACCUGGAUAUUGCAUCACCAUAUUGCCUUAGUGGAGAAACUAGCUUUGACUACUUCUGGAUGCCCACUUGUGAUUCAGUGCAAGAACUUCAGGAUUGUGCAUUUCAUUGUUCCCAGAGAAAGAGAUUGCCAUGAUAUUUACAAUUCCCUGCUACAACUGUCAAAACAAGCAAAAUAUGAAGAUCUCUAUGCAUUCUCUUACAAUCCCAAACAAAACGAUUCAGAGCGACUCCGAGGCUGGCAGCUCAUUGACCUUGCCGAGGAAUAUAAGAGGAUGGGAGUGCCAAAUUCAAACUGGCAGCUGUCUGAUGCCAACCGAGAAUACAAGAUUUGUGAAACUUACCCCAGAGAACUUUAUGUUCCCCGAAUAGCAAGUAAACCAAUAAUUGUUGGUAGUUCCAAGUUCCGGAGCAAGGGAAGAUUCCCAGUUCUUUCCUACUAUCAUGAACAUAAAGAGGCUGCCAUUUGUCGAUGUAGUCAGCCACUAUCAGGAUUCAGUGCCAGGUGCCUGGAGGAUGAACAUUUGCUUCAAGCCAUUAGUAAAGCCAACCCAGUCAAUCGCUAUAUGUAUGUAAUGGAUACCAGGCCCAAACAUCGCAUGCAGAGCUGGUGGGCUACACAAAAGGACAUUGGCAGAAUUAUAGUGAGGAUUUCUUCAAAAAUCUGGAAUGAUGAGAAAAUAAGAGAAAGCGAUGAGAAAAAGCGACUGAAUGCAAUGGCCAACAGAGCAGCUGGAAAAGGUUAUGAAAAUGAAGACAACUAUUCUAAUAUUAGAUUUCAGUUUGUUGGAAUUGAAAAUAUUCAUGUCAUGCGGUCCAGCCUUCAGAAGUUAUUGGAAGUUAAUGGUACCAAAGGGCUUUCUGUCAGUGAUUUCUACUCUGGUUUGGAGAGCUCAGGAUGGCUUCGCCAUAUCAAAGCUGUUAUGGAUGCAGCAAUCUUCUUAGCCAAAGCAAUAACGGUUGAAAGUGCAAGUGUGUUGGUACAUUGUUCUGAUGGUUGGGAUCGGACGUCCCAGGUCUGUUCCCUUGGCUCUCUCUUACUGGAUUCCUACUACAGGACAAUCAAAGGAUUCAUGGUUUUAAUAGAAAAGGAUUGGAUCUCAUUUGGACAUAAGUUUUCAGAGAGGUGUGGCCAUUUGGAUGGUGACCCAAAGGAAGUCUCACCGGUGUUUACUCAGUUCUUGGAAUGUGUGUGGCAUUUGACCGAACAGUUUCCACAAGCCUUUGAAUUCAAUGAAGCGUUUCUCCUUCAGAUCCAUGAACAUAUUCAUUCAUGCCAAUUUGGAAACUUCCUUGGAAAUUGUCAGAAGGAAAGAGAAGAACUCAAGUUAAAGGAGAAGACUUACUCCCUGUGGCCUUUUCUCCUGGAUGACCAGAAGAAGUACUUAAAUCCUCUCUACACUUCUAAAUCUCCAAAAUUUACAGUUUUGGAGCCAAAUACAGUAUCUUUCAAUUUUAAGUUUUGGAGAAACAUGUACCACCAAUUUGACCGAACAUUGCAUCCUAGACAGUCUGUGUUUAAUAUAAUUACGAAUAUGAAUGAGCAAAAUAAGCAGUUAGAGAAAGAUAUUAAAGACUUAGAAUCGGUCCGCUUUAGAGUACUGAAAAUUCAUUCAGUUGGCAUUCUAAGUUGGAUGAAAUUCUGAUCGUUUACAAAACUAUAUAAGGAGAAGUUGCAGGCUUUUAUCGGUGAUGUCGAUUUCAUUGGCCGUGUUUUGGCUAUUCUGUUGGCUUUUCCGUGCAGUAGUACAACUCGCAUUAACAUGUUUUGGUGGGUUAAAACGUAGAACCUGUUUUUACAAGUACAGAACUAUACGCUUUUUAGAAGGCUGUAUCUAGAAAAAGCCUGUAAACUAAGAUGACUGACUAUCUCAAGAAAAGGAUAUAUACUAUUGUACUUAUCAGAAAAUAAAACACUAAUUUCUGCCAUUUUUCUAAGUGGUAUUAGUGCUAAUCUAAUUAUUUCCAAGCAAGUAAAAUACCCCUUUGCACAGCAACUCUUGUCAAAGAGUGGAAUGUGUAACCAAAAGCAACCUUCAGAAGCAUUUGCACUUAACAAUAUUUGUGGAGCUUCUGUUGCAGAAUGGUAGGAGAAUCACAUUCUGAAUCGCCUACCCCGAUCAGUAAGCGUCUCUCCUGUUCUUAAAAGAAACGCAGAAUUACUUUCCCAUGAAGAGCAGUAAUUUGGGACGCAUCGUACUUAAGAAACAUUGCUGCACAAGAUGGGUGAGAAAGAAACCUUUAUUUUAGGUCACCGAGAGUUUGGGCUCUGUUACUGUAGCAUAACCUAGUUCAUCCUGAAUGAGGAAACCAUUAGCACACCUAAGAAGUUAAUAAGCCUCUGAUUUCAUCUAGAUUCCAGCCCCUCAUGGUCUCCUCAGGGCCUUUUACUUACUUUUGCACUCCUAUCUACAGUUGUUUCAUGCAUUGCAUUUGCUUGUACCUCUCUAGGCUCUGACGUUGAACAGUCCCCUCACCCUUUGCACUGACAUCUUGAACCAGACCAACUGUAGGGUAUCUUACGACCUCCUGAACCUCCUUACUCAGGAGGAUAUAAUAAUCAGCCUGUUCCACUGUUUUGAUGAUAAAUUCGAUCACUUGGUUGAUCUCUCCUUCUAAAGGCACACCUGAGAGAUACUGGGAUUUGAUUCCAGACCACUACAACAGAGUAAAUAUCACAAUAAAGAAUAUAGGUUUGGGUCACUCCAGCAGGUGAAGAACCACGACCAGCUGAGGUGCUGGCUGAAAGCAAAAGGACUACAGAAUGGGCAGUGGGAAGAGGUACUUACGAAUGCCAGAAAUGACCAUGUGACCAGUUACAGAUUGAGGACUAUUUCCUUCUUAUAUUGAUGAAUACAUUUGUGAAAGGACUCCCGACCGAGUCCCUUGAUCACAUUUGAGAGCGGUGCAGGAGGUAGAGGAGGACAGACAGGCAUGUUCACGCCUCGGUUAGGUGCUUGGUUUUGCUCCCAGUGUGCUGGGCGGUCGUUGGAAAAUGCAGCCACCCGAGGACAGUGCGUGCUGGGGAACUGAGACGUGCUUGGAAUUGGGGGAGCAUAUUGGCUCUGCCAGGGUAACCCUCGUCCUCGCUCCGUGAUCCAGUUCGAAUCCUCGGACCCGUGAUCCAGCAGGAAGACUUCCUGCAACCCCCAACCAGGCCUGAGUGGUUCACCUGUGAUCUCCCAGGAGUUCAGAUGUGCCCCAUGAGGACAGGGGUGUUGGUGUGUGUGACGUCACUCCGGGGCUCCGUGUCUGGUGGACGCCGUGGGACUCGUCGAAUGGACAAGUACGCACGGGAAGUCAAGAAGGAGCAAGGUUUGAAAGGAGAACGAGGGUCAAAUGACCUUUCAUAAAUAGUAAUGUGGUGAAACCCCUUCAUCUAGGGUUCUAGUCUCUGGCAUUCAUUUUUUAGAUCUAAUUUAUACCUAGGUAUCUGUCAUAGAGAUUUGACAUUGUAGGGAAUGUGCAAGACGAGAAUGCCUCCCUCUUUCCGGAGUGACAGUCAGUCAUCUGAAAGCCAAACAACAAGGAGGCAAUGGAAUCGCCUGGAACAAACAGGGUGGAACCUCUUUCUGAGCAAAGGCGUCAGGAGACUAUGAGUUUAAAGGUCCUUACUUUUACUGUGGCAGAGAUGACAAAAAAGAGGCUUCAGCUUCCAAGAAAAGAGCAACGUACACAUUUGGUGCAAAAUUCUGUUGCCUCCACAUCAUGCUGUGUAUCCCUACCAGUUAAAAAAAAGAGAGAGUUUCUGGUGCUCCUGGCUCAGUCGGUUAAGCAGCUAGGUCGGGAUCUCAUAGCUCGUGGGUUCGAGCUCUGAGUCAGGCUCUGUGCCGACAGCUGGGAGCCCGGAGCCUGCUUUGGAUUCUGUGUCUCGCUCUCUCUCUGUCCCUCCCCUCGUUGUCUCUCUCUCUCUAUCAAACAUAAAUAAACAUUUAAAAAAUUAAGAAAAAAAGAGACAACAUUCCUGUCAGGAGGGUCAUCUUUCAGCCCAGUGGCUCCAAACACCAGCUAACCUGUGGGCUGACUUCAGGCCACGGGAAGGUUUUCCCAGUCUGGCAAAAUGAAUGAAGGACAGCAUGGUGUGAAUAUAUGUGUUUGGAUCAGGUUGCAAACUGUCUUCUCCUGUGGUGGAUGAUCUUUGUUUCUGAUUUUUAGCUGUUGUAAUCUCUUUUCUUUGUUUUUUGUUAGCUAAUUGCUUAACAACCUUACUGGGAGUCAUGGGAUGCUAUUGUUCUAUUUGCCUAACUCUGCCUCCCCUUAUACUCUUUCUUUUUCUUUUUCUUUUUUUUUUUUAACAUUUUUUUACACUUAUUCAUUUUUGAGAGACAGAGCAUGAACUGGGGAGGGGCAGAGAGAGACAGAAUCUGAAGCAGGCUCCAGGCUCUGAGCUGUCAGCACAGAGCCCAAUGUGGGACCUGAACCCAUAAACUGUGAGAUCAUGACCUGAGCUGAAGUCGUACAUUUAACUGACUGAGCCACCCAGGCAUCCCUCCUUACACUCUUUCUAAUACGUCUUAUUGUUUUGUUUUGUUUUGUUUUGUUUUGUUUUGUUUUGUUUUGUUUUAUUUUAUUUUACUUUAUUUUAUUUUAUUUUUUGUUUGCUUGUGUAUUCAUUUAUUCCUUUAUUCAGCAUGUAUUAACUGACCAUGGAAUUUAGUGGAUCUUAGGCCAAAACUAAAAAGAAAAAAACAACAACAACAAAACUUUGCCCCUAUUGAAACAUACUUUGAGCUUCAACAUUUCCUUAAAUCUCAAUGUGGGUAAGUCUUAGAUUCUUUCCUGAGAAGACUGAAUGGGGAGAGAGAAUGAGUGAGUUUGGGAUUUUAAAGACAGUGUAAAUGAUAUAGAAAGAUGCACAGGAAGUCACCACAUUAAACUUUGUCAGUGUCCCAACUUUCCUCAAGCAGCUGAGUGGAUAGGUGUUGACUUUGGUAAAUUCACUAGCGUCAGCCAAAGAACUUGUUCCUAAAUCAUACAGACUUUAAAGACGAUUGAAGGAGACUUCAACACAUGAAAAGCUGCAGGAUCUCAAAACCAGAGACAAUUGGGGUAUCCUUCUGUAGCUGUUUUCACUUGGGGUGAGUUUGAAAAACAUUUAAAAGCCAGCCGAAAUUGCAAUGAGUCUUUCCCAACCAUACCCACUCUUCCUGUCUCCAACACUAAGCUGCGGGCGUCUUAGGGGCAGGGGCUGGGCCUUGAUCAUCAUUAUUCCUGAUGUUUAGCACAGUGCUUAGUGCACUGCUAGUAUUGAAUCAGCACUUAAUAACUGAUUGAAUGAGAAAUUGCUGCAUGGUGGCCCAGAAUGCCAAGAUCCUUUUCCUGAAUUAAGCCUUGAUUCUGUCUUACAGUGGGACCCCAUGAAAAUAGCUGCUUGUAGGGUAAACCCUUCAGGAAAUCAAGACGUUGGGAAAUUGUUUCUCUUGACCCCAAUUUUCUAACAUGUCAUUAAAAUUUAUGAGGGAGAAGACAGAGCCAAUAAACUUUCCCCCACUUCCAGGCAAGUCUCUUAAGUUCGCCAGCACACGUUGUCCUGGAAUGGCUGCACCUUCCGAUGACUUCCCAGUGUACUCGGAAUAAAAACUAACCCCCUCACUGCACAUGUCGCCUUUUCCCUGCCGGCCUCCCUCUUGUGCGCUGCGCUAGAAUGUGAUAAAAAGAACCUUUGUCCUCACCACGGGGAAUGCAAAAUCAAAUACACUGUCAAAACCAUGAUAUCACCACUUUUAGUAUAUGAAUGCUUUGCUCAUCGAAAAAAGACAGCGAUAGGAAAUGAAACAGUGGGAUGGCGGAAAGAAGGGGCAUUUUUCACAGCACCCUGGGCCUGGCCUCUCCUCUCUUCAGAAGGCCUGGGAAAAGAGCUAUGUUUAUGACUGAGUAGGCUCUGAAGAGCAGGACCUUCAUUGUGCUGAGCUUGGUUCCCCACUGAGCUGCCACUCAAAUGGCAGCGUGACUGGAAGUCAACAACCCCGUUGCCAUGGCCAAGUGGGCGUUGGACUACUAUCUCCUCUGGGGAGCCGCUGUGGGAAAAUGCGUCUGCUCCCACCAGCAUCACCGGUAUCAUCCCCACCAGCACUUAUGGAGUGAAAGCUCCAAAACUCUAAAUCGCCUUUUCCACUCCCAUAACCUAAGAUCAGUUGCUGCUGCUGGUGAGUUUCAUCAGGUAGCCAAGAGGCACGACUUCCUUGGCCAUCCUUUCCGGAAAGAACUCAUCUUACUGGAGGAGAACAGUCUGAUUCAAAUUCCUUCGGUGUCGUUGCAAAUGCCAUUCACAGUUCAGAGACGUAUUCGACUGGGAUUACCCAGCAGGAAAAGGAACAGAAUCUGCAACUCAAAAUUUAAAUUGAAUCAUGGUCUAGUUAAUCUUGUAUAAUUAAUUACUCCGUGUACUGUCACUGAAAAUUUCAAAAUCCUAAGUCUCAAAUGUGAGGUAAUUAGCAUUUGGUAAAGUCGUUAUCAGCUUCUGAUUCUA